rnacentral:rRNA from 1 species
GACGAACGCUGGCGGCGUGCCUAACACAUGCAAGUCGAACGAAGUGGCAAACGGGUGAGUAACGCGUAAUAAACCUGCCCUUCAGAGGGGGUCAACAGUUGAAAACGACUGCUAAUACCGCAUACUGAAGGAGGGGAGUGCGGCUGAUUAGCUCGGUGGAGGGGAAACGGCCCACCAAGGCGCGGAUCAGUGGCCGGUCGUAGGGGAUUAACGGCCACAUGGGGACGGAGAACCUGCCCAAACUCCUACGGGAGGCAGCAUGGGGGAAUCUUCCGCAAUGGACGAAAGUCUGACGGAGCAACGCCGCGUGAGUGAUGACGGCCUUCGGGUUGUAAAGCUCUGUUAAUCGGGACGCGGUACCGGAAUAGAAAGCCACGGCUAACUACGUGCCAGCAGCCGCGGUAAUUC